AGUGAACGCUGGCGGUAGGCCUAACACAUGCAAGUCGAACGGCAGCACAGUAAGAGCUUGCUCUUACGGGUGGCGAGUGGCGGACGGGUGAGGAAUACAUCGGAAUCUACUUUUUCGUGGGGGAUAACGUAGGGAAACUUACUCUAAUACCGCAUACGACCUACGGGUGAAAGCAGGGGAUCUUCGGACCUUGCGCGAUUGAAUGCGCCGAUGUCGGAUUAGCUAGUUGGCGGGGUAAAGGCCCACCAAGGCGACGAUCCGUAGCUGGUCUGAGAGGAUGAUCAGCCACACGGGAACGGAGACACGGUCCAGACUCCUAAGGGAGGCAGCAGUGGGGAAUAUUGGACAGUGGUCGCAAGCAUGAUCCAGCCAUACCGCGUGGGUUAAGAAGGCCUUCGGGUUGUAAAGCCCUUUUGUUGGGAAAGAAAAGCAGCAGGUUAAUACCACGCUGUUCUGACGGUACCCAAAGAAUAAGCACCGGCUAACUUCGUG
rnacentral:rRNA from 1 species